rnacentral:lncRNA from 1 species
GCUGAAGCAACUACAGCCCCUUAGGGCUCAGCUGGGAGGGAUUUAUUGGAGAAUUUCAAUCAUGGGGUCUUGGCUCAAACUUGUUGCUUCCUCAAAAAUCUCCCCAGAAGUUGGCUACAUGUGAAACUGAGGCAUGAAGGAAGGACUCGGAUGAUCUCACGGUUCGGAACUCCACCUGGGCCUGUCAGAGAAUUCAUAGACCCUCACUUGGAGGAAGAGAGCACAGAACAGCAAGAAAGAUGCAGGUUCCUGGGACGAUGUGGAGUGGAAAUCUUGGACGCCUAAUGACAUAUUUCUGUCCAGGAAGAAAUUUGAACUCUGAAGCCGAACUUGAUUAAACCCCAAACCGAGAGACCUUGCCCAAUGGGACCACUCCAGGACUUUGACUUCUGGGUGUCAGAGCUUAAUUAAAAUAUUCAUCCAGCUGCUCUCCACUCGCCAAGGGGGCCCAGAGGAAUUAAACCAAUAAGCUUAAUUCUAUUAGUUCACCUGCCUGUGUACAUAGACAUGCGGAAGACCAUUUACUGAUUCAGAAAAAAAUCAUCAGACCCACCCUAUAAAUUCAGCGUGGGCAGCCAUCACUGCAACAGCAACACGGUCCCCCCAGCAAACGUAACACUCAGCAAUCUCGACUCCUGUCUCCGAACACACACAGCUAUUUUUAAGACUCUUCCAAGAAAACCAAAAUGCUAAACGGGUCAAUGUAAGGAUUGAUGUGCGCGCAUGUGUGUGUUAUGAUUUAUGUGUCGUUUAUAAUAACAUGUAACAUUUA